GCUUGCUGACAACAUGGACCAGGCUCUUCCAGUGCAAAGACGGAAGACAUAGCACAGGAUAAAGAGCACAAGGGUGUCUUUAAGGACUGGACUGACAUUUAUUGGAUGUGGCUUCGCACAGAGCACCUGUGAGCAAUACAUGGUACCAAGAUUUCCCCGAGACUCCGAGUGGGUUAGGAACAGACAAGGGAUUCGAAGCCCACAGUUCUUGAGCUCUGCUCUCACGCAAAACAAUCAGACCAGACUGCCUUAUAAGCGGAGAAAGGUAUGCAGCAGCACUACCUCCGAAUUAGCAGACAGGAAGAAUUUCCUCA